UACGUAGGGUGCGAGCGUUGUCCGGAAUUACUGGGCGUAAAGAGCUCGUAGGUGGUUUGUCGCGUUGUUCGUGAAAACUCACAACUCAAUUGUGGGCGUGCGGGCGAUACGGGCAGACUGGAGUACUGCAGGGGAGACUGGAAUUCCUGGUGUAGCGGUGAAAUGCGCAGAUAUCAGGAAGAACACCUAUGGCGAAGGCAGCACUCUGGGACGGUACUGACGCUGAGACGCGAAAGCGUGGGGAGCAAACAGG
rnacentral:rRNA from 1 species